AUUUACAAUGCGGGAAACCGUGAUAAGGGGACACCGAGUGCCAGCAUCAUAUGUUGGCUGUCCAGAUGUGUAAAAUACAUCUGUUAGCAAGGGCCGGGCAAGACCGGUGCCAGCCGCCGCGGUAACACCGGCGCCCGAGUGGUGAUCGUGAUAUUGGGUCUAAAGGGUCCGUACCGGUUUGGUCAGUCCUCCGGGAAAUUGACGGCUCAACCGUUAGGCUUUCGGUGGAACUGCCAGACUUGGAACCGGGAGAGGUAAGAGGUACUACAGGGGUAGGAGUGAAAUCUUGUAAUCCCUGUGAGACCACCUGUGGCGAAGCGUCUUACCAGAACGGGUUAANACGGUGAGGGACAAAGCUGGGGGCACGAACGG
rnacentral:rRNA from 1 species